rnacentral:misc_RNA from 1 species
GACGCGUCUAACGCGCCGCCGUUUCCUUAUUUCUUCGACUCCUCUCCUUCUCCUCAUUUUAUUUUCCUUCGUUGCUCUUCCUUCUCCUUAUAUUAAGUACAUCCGUUAUUUCUCCUCCGUUUCCUGUGCGCAAGUGUGUAUACGGUGUAAGGUGUAUAACACACACCCGUUGUGCGUGCAUGCACCAGCAGAAGUAAUAAAACCUAUAGCGCGGGAUCAGCUGGUUUGUGUCCCAGCACUGUGAGGCGUGUGUGACACUCGAGGGUACCUGUCCAACGGCAAUGUUUUCCCUACAAAGGAGUAUUCUAACGUGCGGGAGAAAUGGUAGCGGACCGAGCGGCGCGUGGACUCGGGUACUGCCGGCUGCGACGUGCCGACAUUACCCCCAACAACAAUGCAGGGACUUACACGAGGUACAGGGUGAUGUAGUGCCUAUCAACAUGGUCCAGGGCAUCGGACAUCUGCGCGAUCCUCGUCUCAACAAGGGCUUAGCCUUCACGCUGGAGGAGCGAAUAGCACUGGGAAUCCACGGGCUCCAGCCGCCGAGAUUUAAGACCCAAGAGGAGCAGCUGGCUCUGUGCAAAGCUUCCGUAAUGAAGUACACCGAAGACCUGAACCGCUACCUCUACCUCGUCGAGCUUCAGGAACGAAAUGAGCGAUUGUUCUUCCGAUUGUUGAAAGAAAACAUUGAGCAAAUGAUGCCGAUCGUGUACACACCAACGGUUGGUCUUGCCUGUCAAAAGUUCGGGGUGAUAUAUCGUCGCCCGCGGGGACUCUUCAUCACCAUCUACGACAAGGGACACAUCUACGAGAUCCUCAACAACUGGCCCGAGCAAGCGGUGCGUGCCAUCUGCGUGACGGACGGCGAACGGAUCUUGGGGCUGGGCGACCUCGGUGCCUGCGGUAUGGGCAUUCCCGUGGGCAAGCUGGCCCUAUACACGGCCCUGGCCGGCAUAAAGCCACACCAGUGCCUGCCGAUCACCAUAGACGUGGGCACGAACAACGAGCAGCUGCGCAACGACCCGCACUACAUCGGCCUGAACAAGCCGCGCACCGUCGGCCCCGAGUACGACGAGCUCCUCGACGAGUUCAUGUCCGCGUGCGUGAAAAAGUACGGCCAAAACGUCCUCAUACAGUUCGAGGACUUUGGCAACCACAACGCCUUCCGGUUCCUCGACAAGUACCGACACGCCUACUGCACCUUCAACGACGACAUACAGGGCACCGCGGCGGUCGCUGUAGCCGGGAUCAUCGCCUCGCAGAGGCUCACCCGGAAACCCAUGAGGGACAACAAGUUCGUCUUCCUGGGAGCCGGAGAGGCGGCAAUCGGUAUCGCGGAUCUGUGCGUGCGAGCUAUGGAGGCCGAGGGCUGCUCCAAGGAAGAGGCACGCAACAACAUAUGGAUGCUGGACAUCAACGGGCUGCUCACCACGACUCGGAAGACCGGUGACCUGGAGGGCCACAAGAUUUUCUACGCCAAGGACGUGCCGCCGGUGAAUACGCUCGCCGAGGUGGUCAAGAAAAUUAAGCCGUCCAUCCUGAUUGGCGCUUCGGCAGCGGCCAAGACUUUCACACCGGAGAUCUUGCGAGAGAUGGCCCAAAAUAACGAGAGGCCAUUGGUCUUUGCGCUGAGUAAUCCGACGAGCAAAGCCGAGUGUACGGCCCAGGAGGCUUACGAGCACACCGAGGGCAGAGUUCUAUUCUCGUCGGGCUCGCCUUUCGGCAACGUGAACUACAAGGGUAAUAUCUUCAAGCCGGGCCAAGGCAACAACGCGUACAUAUUCCCCGGCAUAGCCCUCGGUGUGAUAGCAACCGGCUGCCAUCACAUACCCGAGGACAUGUUCCUGCUUUCCGCCCGCGAAGUCGCUAAUCGCGUGACCGACGAGGACCUCGACCAAGGUAGCCUAUACCCGCCCCUAAACGUCAUACAAGAGUGUUCCAUCGACAUUGCCUGCAAGAUCGCCGACUACGCCUACAGGCAUGGAAACUUGGCCAGUGAGUAUCCGGAACCAAAGGACAAGCGCUCGUUCAUCAUAAGCAAAAUGUACGACUGCGACUACGACAGUCCCCUGGCCAACAUGUACACGUGGCCCGAGGGCUUCAGCAAUCCGCGCACCUUGCCCGAAAACUUUUACCGUGAUAUCGAACUUUUGUGGUAGCCGGUCGAAGAUAAACGCCGAUGACGAUACGUGUAUAACACACGAGUAGUAGACGGUCGUUCCUCGAACUACUCCAAAGUGCUUGUAACAUGCCUGAUCCCGAAGAUCUCACGAGCAAGGCAAGGAUCAAAAGGGUCGUUCUACAUAAUGCAAAAAUAUAACAACAACAAAAGUACACCUGCGCGCUUACGCAUCCCUGUCGCAUAUAAAACACACACUUAGCUGAGAAUUCAGUCAUUUUUUUUUAAAUUUAAGGUCGCGCUAAUGUUUUGGAUUUCAUUGAAAUUACUGUGCGCGUCUCGAUGAGUUUGUAUUGAAAAAAUUGCACACGCCGCUUGUAUACCGCAAAAGCUAUAAUCGUAUCACCGUGAACGUUUCGCAAUUAGUAAAUUUUCCACGUUGACGUUGAACAUAUUAAGUACACGUGUGUUAUACCUAAAUAUUGAUGAUGAGAGGUGAGGAAAAAUUGAUUAUUGAACGUUUUGUUUUACCUACUACAAACAUUUGAGUUUUCGAAGACUUUACCAUACCAUUGUCGUCUCGAUAAAUCGACUAUAUAUCAUAUUGUAUACUGCCUUCUUCUUCCUUUUAUAUGACAUGUAUACACGUAUCACACUCGUUAUUGUAUACUUUUCAUUCAUGUUGACGUAGUGAAAAGCUAAUAGCUGUUCGUUUUUUAUUAAUUUUUUUUUUUUUUUUUUUUU